GGACUUUUAUUGUGAAACAGAGCGCUUAGCAUUACAUCACCCACACACAGGAAGCAGGAAGUGGAGGAGGUGGAGGUUUUUAAAGCUGAGAGAGCAGAAAUUAAGCCAAAUAUAUCGACCAUUCCAGGAGUGUCCGGCCUACCGAAAUUAUUACACCAAAAGGGCAUGGACAACUCAUCCAGGAGGUCACAGAAGAACCCAGAACUGGAACAGGAACACGGCUGUGGGUUUACUGCUUAGGCGUUUCUUCAGAGCUGUAUAUAUCAACCAUUCCAGGAGUGUCCGGCCUACCGAAAUUACUCCAAAAGGGCAUGGACAACUCAUCCAGGAGGUCACAGAAGAACCCAGAACUGGAACAGGAACACGACUGUGGGUUCAAUGCUUAGGUACAAGUGUACAAGUCUUACUUGUGAAAUAGAGGUUUUGAGUUAAGCAGCAUAAAGUUAUCCAAAAGCAGUGUGUAAGACUGGUGGAGGAGAACAUGAUACCAAGAUGCAUUAAAAAAACUGUGAUUAAAAACCAGGGUUAUUCCACCAAAUAUUGAUUAUUUCUGAACUCUUAAAACUUUAUGAAUAUGAACUUCUUGUUUUCUUUGCAUUAUUUGAGGUCUGAAAGCUCUGCAUCUUUUUUGUUAUUUCAGCCAUUUCUCAUUUUCUGUAAAUAAAUGCUCUAAAUGAGAAUAUUUUUAUUUGGAAUUUGGGAGAAAUGUUGUCUGUAGUUUAUAGAAUAAAACAACAAUGUUCAUUUUACUCAAAUAUAAACCUAUAAAUAGCA